GAUGAACGCUGGCGGCGUGCUUAAUACAUGCCAGUCGAGCGAACAGACGAGGAGCUUGCUCCUCUGACGUUAGCGGCGGACGGGUGAGUAACACGUGGAUAACCUACCUAUAAGACUGGGAUAACUUCGGGAAACCGGAGCUAAUACCGGAUAAUAUAUUGAACCGCAUGGUUCAAUAGUGAAAGACGGUUUUGCUGUCACUUAUAGAUGGAUCCGCGCCGCAUUAGCUAGUUGGUAAGGUAACGGCUUACCAAGGCAACGAUGCGUAGCCGACCUGAGAGGGUGAUCAGCCACACUGGAACUGAGACACGGUCCAGACUCCUACGGGAGGCAGCAGUAGGGAAUCUUCCGCAAUGGGCGAAAGCCUGACGGAGCAACGCCGCGUGAGUGAUGAAGGUCUUCGGAUCGUAAAACUCUGUUAUUAGGGAAGAACAAAUGUGUAAGUAACUAUGCACGUCUUGACGGUACCUAAUCAGAAAGCCACGGCUAACUACGUG
rnacentral:rRNA from 1 species